UUGAUAUCCUAUGGAUACCAAUAAAUUGCCAAUUUGAUACACAAUUCUUCAAAUUUUAGCGAACUGAGUUCAAAUACGCUGUAUGCACAGUUUGACAGGAUUUCGUGUCCAUGAAUUACUUCAGUUUUACCCAAUUAUGUGAGUCUCAUUCGCACAACAUGAAUAUGAGUGCCUAGAUAUCGUAAUUUAGCAAGGCUACCCGAUAGAUAAGCAGAAAAAUUGGCACAAGAGAACAGUAUAUGUUUCAAGUGAAACAAACCGGUCACGAGAUUGUACAGGGUUAGCUGUUUUUCGUUUGACAUUUACUACCACUGCAUCAGUAAGAAUGAAAUUACUAUGGUGGAAGUCCAACAUUCUCUGCCUUAUGGCAAUAAUUUUGGCAUUAAUCAAUACUUUGGCCCCAAGCAUCAAUUGCGCAAUUGUCAACGACAUCCAUGCUCCGUGUCCAGAGGGCCAGACAAGAGAUCCCAAUGGACAUUGCCGUAAAUGCGUAGACUGUGGUCGGAAAUAACAAGCAACAAAUGUAAACCGAACUGAAAACGACACAGAAUAUUAUGAAUCUUCUAUCAAUGACAUCGUUGCUCUAAAAUCUGCGAGCAUCUUUAACAGAGGUUCGUCCAGACAUGGUUUAUCAUCAAUUUAUUCGUUCUUUCUAGUAGUGUAAGUUUUACUGCUUUUUUAUCUGAUAUUGUACCCGUCGACACAUACCUGGAAUCACAAAUCAUAUUCCCAAUUCUGUCGAAAAUGAAUUGCUAUAAAAAAGAUGCUAUAAAAAAUGGUUCCCUUUACGAUAAGUAAAUAUGACUUUCACUUAAAACUUA